UCAGGUUUGACCUGGCUCAGGAUGAACGCUAGCUACAGGCUUAACACAUGCAAGUCGAGGGGCAGCAUGUUGGUUGCUUGCAACCAAUGAUGGCGACCGGCGCACGGGUGAGUAACGCGUAUCCAACCUACCCUUGUCCAUCGGAUAACCCGUCGAAAGGCGGCCUAACACGAUAUGCGGUUCACAGCAGGCAUCUAAGGUGAACGAAAUGUGAAGGAGAAGGAUGGGGAUGCGUCUGAUUAGCUUGUUGGCGGGGUAACGGCCACCAAGGCGACGAUCAGUAGGGGUUCUGAGAGGAAGGUCCCCCACAUUGGAACUGAGACACGGUCCAAACUCCUACGGGAGGCA
rnacentral:rRNA from 1 species